CAGGACGCCAACAACUGACAUUGUUGUGGGCGUAUUUGUUGAUUUGUGAACAAAAUGUUAAUUUGUGGGCCUUCCUCCCUCUCUUGUGGAGAUGUUACAACAAAGCUUUGGGAGAUUGAGCUGCUCUAUAACGGCUGAAAAUGAUAAACUCGAGCUUGGAACAAAAGCAUCUACCAGCACUAUCAUCACUGCCACCACCACUACUGGCACCACCACCUAUGGCAAGGUAAGAACCUUGGGAAAUUGAACAGCACCAUCACAA